rnacentral:rRNA from 1 species
AUGGAGGCUUCCUUUCGUGGUAGAAAGACUUAUGCCACUCAAAAUGUGAUGGCAGUUGUAGAUUUUGAUCUUCGAUUCACAUAUGUGUUGGCCGGGUGGGAGGGGACAACACAUGAUGCUCUAGUUUUAUGUGAUGCUUUAGAACGUGAAAAUGGUCCACGUGUCCCACAAGGGAAAUUUUAUCUAGUUGAUGCUGGAUAUGGAGCCAAACAUGGUUUUUUGCCUCCUUUUCGUGGUGUGAGGUACCACUUGAAUGAGUGGGGAAACAACCCUGUGCAAAAUGAGAGGGAGUUGUUCAACCUUAGGCAUUCUUCUCUUCGUGUGACUGUAGAACAUGCAUUUGGGUCAUUGAAGAGAAGAUUCAAGAUACUUGAUGAUGCCACUCCAUUCUUUCUGUUUCCAACACAAGUUGACAUUGUUGUGGCUUGUUGCAUUAUUCACAAUUGGGUUAUAAAUGAUGGGAUAGAUGAAUAUAUCAUACCCGAGGAUGAAUGGGUGCCAAAUAUUACUCAUGCUUCAUCAUCAAGUGGUCAAGCACAUGAACAUGCAUACAUGGUUAAUUUUAGGCAAGGAGUUGCUGAUCAAAUGUGGGAAGACCGACAAAACCAUUUGCAAGGUCAAAAUAUGUAG